rnacentral:rRNA from 1 species
CAAUAGCGUAUAUUAAAGUUGUUGCAGUUAAAAAGCUCGUAGUUGGAUUUCGGAGUGGGCCAGUUGGUCCGCCGCAAGGUGUGUUACUGACUGGUUUGCUCUUCUUCGCAAAGACUGCGUGUGCUCUUGAGUGAGUGUGCGUAGAAUUUACGACGUUUACUUUGAAAAAUUAGAGUGUUCAAAGCAGGCUAUUGCUUGAAUACAUGAGCAUGGAAUAAUGGAAUAGGACUUUUGGUUCUAUUUUGUUGGCGUUCGAGAACCAAAGUAAUGAUUGAUAGGGACGGUUGGGGCGGUCAGUAUUCUGUAGCGAGAGGUGAAAUUCUUGGACCUACGGAAGACUAACAGCUGCGAAAGCGUUCGCCUAGGACGUUCUCUUAAUCAAGAAC